GCCAGCCCGCUCAGAACUUAAAUGAAUUGACGGGGGCCCGCACAAGCGGUGGAGUAUGUGGUUUAAUUCGAUGCAACGCGAAGAACCUUACCUGGUCUUGACAUCCCGGAGACCCUUAGGAAACUAGGGGGUGCUUCCAUCUGGAAGAAUCUGGAGACAGGUGCUGCAUGGCUGUCGUCAGCUCGUGUCGUGAGAUGUUGGGUUAAGUCCCGCAACGAGCGCAACCCUUGCCUUUAGUUGCCAGUAGUUCGGCUGGGCACUCUAAAGGGACUGCCGGUGUUAAACCGGAGGAAGGUGGGGAUGACGUCAAGUCCUCAUGGCCUUUAUGACCAGGGCUACACACGUACUACAAUGGCCGAUACAAAGGGCAGCGACACUGCGAGGUGAAGCCAAUCCCGUAAAAUCGGUCUCAGUCCGGAUUGGAGUCUGCAACUCGACUCCAUGAAGUUGGAAUCGCUAGUAAUCGUGGAUCAGCAUGCCACGGUGAAUACGUUCCCGGGCCUU
rnacentral:rRNA from 1 species